rnacentral:tRNA from 1 species
AAAAUCCGUCGACUUUUAAAAUCGGGAGGG